rnacentral:lncRNA from 1 species
CAGAAUUAUUCUUUAAUUAAAUUGAAAUCAAAACACGAGAUUUUUUCACACUCCUUGUGCUAACCGCCAGUUGUUUUUGUCUGUGUUUCCUAUAGGUUCAGAGAGCAGCACAGGAUCAAGUAAUAACGAUGCCAUCAUGUUAUUGUUGGCUGAAAUCCGCAGUUUAAGAGAACAACUAGAAGCCAGUAUACAGUCGAAUAACUCGCUAAGACAGAUACUACAGAAGCAACUAUCUUCCUCGUCGCAACGACAAACACCGCCCGCCCGUUCACCUGAACAUGUGACAGCUAGGACAACUCCUAUGGUCUCGCCUAGUAAGUCACCGCUGAUUUUGUAGCAAAAUUUCUUUCAUAUGGUAAACUGAAG